CGCAUUUGAAACCCUGCUCUAGGAGGAGGAGGUGGAUGUGGAGUAGGAGGUUGAGGAGGCGGUGACCGUGGUGGCGAUGACGCAUUCGGAUCUCUGCCCUAUCAAUUUUCUAUGUUACUUUCUGCGCCUACCAUGGUGACCACGGGUAACAGAGAAUCAGGGUUCCAUUCCGGAGAGGGAGCCUGAGAAACGGCUACCACAUCCAAGGAAGGCAGCAGGCGUGCAAAUUACCCACUCCCGACGUGGAGAAGUAGUGACG